rnacentral:rRNA from 1 species
GACGUAGGGCGCGAGCGUUGUCCGGAUUUAUUGGGCGUAAAGAGCUCGUAGGCGGCUCGUUGCGUCGCUGUGAAAACCCACAGCUUAACUGUGGGCCUGCAGCCGAUACGGGCGAGCUAGAGUUCGGUAGGGGAGACUGGAAUUCCUGGUGUAGCGGUGAAAUGCGCAGAUAUCAGGAGGAACACCGGUGGCGAAGGCGGGUCUCUGGGCAGUGAACUGACGCUGGAGGAGCGAAAAGC